UACAGAGGUGGGCAAGCGUUGUUCGGAAUUACUGGGCGUAAAGGGCGCGUAGGCGGCCUUCUAAGUCAGACGUGAAAUCCCCCGGCUUAACCUGGGAACUGCGUCUGAUACUGGGAGGCUUGAGUAUGGGAGAGGGAUGUAGAAUUCCAGGUGUAGCGGUAGAAAUGCGUAGAUAUCUGGAGGAAUACCGGUGGCGAAGGCGGGCAGUCCUGGACCAUAACUGACGCUGAGGCGCGAAAGCUAGGGGAGCAAACGGGG
rnacentral:rRNA from 1 species